rnacentral:rRNA from 1 species
UACGUAGGGUGCAGGCGUUAAUCGGAAUUACUGGGCGUAAAGCGUGCGCAGGCGGUUUCUUAAGUCAGAUGUGAAAGCCCCGGGCUUAACCUGGGAACUGCGUUUGAAACUGGGAGACUUGAGUGUGGCAGAGGGGAGUGGAAUUCCACGUGUAGCAGUGAAAUGCGUAGAUAUGUGGAGGAACACCAAUGGCGAAGGCAGCGCCCUGGACGAGACCCGACGCUGAGGCACGAAAGCUGGGGGAGCAAACAGG